rnacentral:rRNA from 1 species
AACGAACGCUGGCGGCAUGCCUAACACAUGCAAGUCGAACGAGACCUUCGGGUCUAGUGGCGCACGGGUGCGUAACGCGUGGGAACCUGCCCUUAGGUUCGGAAUAACUCCCCGAAAGGGGUGCUAAUACCAGAUAAUGUCUUCGGACCAAAGAUUUAUCGCCUUUGGAUGGGCCCGCGUUGGAUUAGCUAGUUGGUAGGGUAAAAGCCUACCAAGGCGACGAUCCAUAGCUGGUCUGAGAGGAUGAUCAGCCACACUGGGACUGAGACACGGCCCAGACUCAUACGGGAGGCAGCAGUGGGGAAUAUUGGACAAUGGGCGAAAGCCUGAUCCAGCAAUGCCGCGUGAGUGAUGAAGGCCUUAGGGUUGUAAAGCUCUUUUACCCGGGAUGAUAAUGACAGUACCGGGAGAAUAAGCUCCGGCUAACUCCGUG